GAUGAACGCUGGCGGCGUGCCUAAUACAUGCAAGUCGAGCGAACGGACGAGAAGCUUGCUUCUCUGAUGUUAGCGGCGGACGGGUGAGUAACACGUGGAUAACCUACCUAUAAGACUGGGAUAACUUCGGGAAACCGUAGCUAAUACCGGAUAAUAUUUUGAACCGCAUGGUUCAAAAGUGAAAGACGGUCUUGCUGUCACUUAUAGAUGGAUCCGCGCUGCAUUAGCUAGUUGGUAAGGUAACGGCUUACCAAGGCAACGAUGCAUAGCCGACCUGAGAGGGUGAUCGGCCACACUGGAACUGAGCCACGGUCCAGACUCCUACGGGAGGCAGCAGUAGGGAAUCUUCCGCAAUGGGCGAAAGCCUGACGGAGCAACGCCGCGUGAGUGAUGAAGGUCUUCGGGUCGUAAAACUCUGUUAUUAGGGAAGAACAUAUGUGUAAGUAACUGUGCACAUCUUGGCGGUACCUAAUCAGAAAGCCACGGCUAACUACGUG
rnacentral:rRNA from 1 species